rnacentral:pre_miRNA from 1 species
GUUGUAUUCCCUCCGUUCAGAAUUACUUGUCGUAGAAAUGGAUGUAUCUAGACGUAUUUUACUUCUAGAUACAUCCAUUUUUGAGACAAGUAAUUCCGAACGGAGAGAGUAGAUG